CUCAAAAUCAAUUCACUUAUCUACUUCCUCAAUCAUUCUUGUACAGCACGAAUUCGACCCAGUAUAUAUAUAUAUAUAUAUAUCUCCUUUACUCUACUGCAUUUACCCAACAAAUCCAACAGAAAAAGUCUUUUAUAAUUCAUCCUGUUUCUUCCCACCGCCGAAUCUCCAUCGGUGCGGCGCGACUAGGACGUUAUUUUUGAUUGAAUUUCUCAAAGUGACCCUUCAAGUUGAAGUUCAAAUACAGGUUUUAAAGGUCGCAGGCACGUGGAGUGGAAGGUCGAAUGGCGAAUCAAAUGUUUUGAAUUCAGCUAUACUUAAAGAUGUUAUGUUGAGUAAAGUGUUUUAAAUAAAAUAUUUAUUUCAUGUUUUUCUUAUUAAAUAUUUAUUUAUAUUCAUGACUUUUCCGCACAAAUAUGCAUGUAAAUUUAAAUUAGAUUUGGGUGUCACAUCAACAGCAGUAGUUGGUUGGUCUAUGAAUGUUUAAACUCUAAUUUUUCCCUAAAGUUUGAAUAUUGUUUGAUUUUGAAGUUGUACCCACUUCAGACAAUGGGUCUACUUGUAAAUGUCAAAUAUAAGAGCAUCUCCAUUCAUGCCUCCUCAUCUACAGGUUUUUGCUGACAUCAUCAAAUAUACAUCACCUAUUCUCUUUCUUUAUUUUCACCCUCAACAAUACCUACUCAAAUUUAGAUUUUUGCUGACAUCAUUUUGGACCAACUUUUCACCAAUUUAAUAUUUAUUUACAUUUAAUUCAAAUUUCACGUUUAAUUUUUAUAAUUUAAUACAAUAAACUAAUUUGCUAGUUAUUUUUAAUUAAUGUAACUAAAAAUUAAUUAUUUUAUAAAUAUGUACAUAACAAAUUUAGCAAAUAAAAAAAUAUUUAAAGUAAAACAAAAAUAAUGUGAUCGUGUAUUUAAAAGUAAAACAUAAUAAAAAAAAUUAUUUAAAUAAAACGUAAGAAAAAUGAAAAGCAAAACAAAAGAAAUUAAAAUGAAAGGAAAAGAAGCAGAACGUAAACAAAGAAAUGAGUGUAAA